AUCCAAGUGCUGGAAGUGGUAGACAGGGAAAAUUUAAGCUUUUCUGAGAUAUUCUCGUGAACGUUCAAGUCGUUCUUUGGAUA
rnacentral:tRNA from 2 species